rnacentral:rRNA from 1 species
AGAGUUUGAUCCUGGCUCAGGACGAACGCUGGCGGCGUGCUUAACACAUGCAAGUCGAACGGUUGAGAGGUGAGAGUUGAGAGGUUAGAAGUGAGAUUAAGGAGCAAUUCGGCAAGGCCGAAUUGCAACCAUUAGAAUCUCACAUCCAACUUCUCACAUCUCACUUCUCGAUAGUGGCGGACGGGUGAGUAACGCGUGGAUAACCUGCCUGAAUGACCGGGACAACACCGGGAAACUGGUGCUAAUACCGGAUACGCUCUUAGAUGCGCAUGCAAAUAAGAGGAAAGGAGCAAUCCGCAUACAGAUGGGUCCGCGUCCCAUUAGCUAGUUGGUGGUGUAAAGGGUCACCAAGGCGACGAUGGGUAGCCGGCCUGAGAGGGUGGACGGCCACACUGGAACUGAGACACGGUCCAGACUCCUACGGGAGGCAGCAGUGGGGAAUCUUCCGCAAUGGGCGCAAGCCUGACGGAGCAACGCCGCGUGAAUGAAGAAGGCCUUCGGGUUGUAAAAUUCUGUCUUCAGGGAAGAAACAAAUGACGGUACCUGAGGAGGAAGCCCCGGCUAACUACGUGCCAGCAGCCGCGGUAAAACGUAGGGGGCGAGCGUUGUCCGGAAUUACUGGGCGUAAAGGGCGUGUAGGCGGUCAUUUAAGUCAGAGGUGAAAACUACCGGCUUAACCGGUAGCCUGCCUUUGAAACUGGGUGACUUGAGGGCAGGAGAGGGGAGUGGAAUUCCCAGUGUAGCGGUGAAAUGCGUAGAUAUUGGGAGGAACACCAGUGGCGAAGGCGGCUCUCUGGCCUAACCCUGACGCUGAGGCGCGAAAGCGUGGGGAUCAAACAGGAUUAGAUACCCUGGUAGUCCACGCCGUAAACGAUGGGUGCUAGGUGUAGGAGGUAUCGACCCCUUCUGUGCCGUAGUUAACACAAUAAGCACCCCGCCUGGGGAGUACGGCCGCAAGGUUAAAACUCAAAGGAAUUGACGGGGGCCCGCACAAGCGGUGGAGCAUGUGGUUUAAUUCGACGCAACGCGAAGAACCUUACCAGGGUUUGACAUCCCCUGACAGCUGCUGAAAGGCAGGGUUCUAUCUUCGGAUAGACAGGGAGACAGGUGGUGCAUGGUUGUCGUCAGCUCGUGUCGUGAGAUGUUGGGUUAAGUCCCGCAACGAGCGCAACCCCU